UAGGGAAUAUUGGUAAUGUGCGAAAGCGCGAACCAGCAACGCCGCGUGCACGAUGAAGGCCUUCGGGUCGUAAAGUGCUUUUAGAGAGGAUGAGGAAGGACAGUACCCUCAGAAUAAGCCUCGGCUAACUACGUGCCAGCAGCCGCGGUAAAACGUAGGAGGCGAGCGUUAUCCGGAUUUACUGGGCGUAAAGCGCGUGCAGGCGGAUUGGAGAGUUGGAUGUGAAAGCUCCCGGCUUAACUGGGAGAGGUCGUUCAAUACUUCCAGUCUUGAGUGCAGUAGAGGGAAGUGGAAUUCCGGGUGUAGUGGUGAAAUGCGUAGAUAUCCGGAGGAACACCAGUGGCGAAAGCGGCUUCCUGGACUGUAACUGACGCUCAGACGCGAAAGCUAGGGUAGCAAACG
rnacentral:rRNA from 1 species